CUUUCAUCAAAUGGAAGACAGUAGGAAAAAAAGUUUCGAAAAUGCCCUUUGGCUGCUCUUUACUGUGUGGUGAAACCUCACAGUAUCUCACCUCAUAUACUAUAUGGGCCCUGAAGGCAGCUGGAAAUGUUUAGAAAUAUGUCUAUUUUGGUACAUGGCUGCCUCUCUAUCUGUUAUAUCCAGCAGUGUUUCAGGGAAGGGAGAUAUUUGCCUAAAUGAAAAGCCCAGACCAAAGUGUGAGAUGGUAAAUGGCGCUCGAGGGUAUACAGCAGUCUAAACGGUGCCCUCUGUUAAAAGAAUCAGCCACCUGACUGCUCAUUAGUUAGCAGUAAAUAAUGAGGAAUAGCUUGAGGCAGGAGCUCAGAAGUGCAGAUGUCCCAAAAUAUUCACCCAGUUUGUGGUGUCAUGAGAUCUGUAGUGUCGUAAGGUAAAAUACACUUAAUCCCUCUUCUGAGUGAAGUAAAGCAUUUUACAGUCUUUGUGGAGUCUAGUAAUUUUCUAUAAUCUUUUCAGAGAGGAUAUCAAAAAAGAAAAAUCAAGGUCCAUAAGAUCGGGCAACGACAGUGUACUUUCCCCCUUCCCUUUCACGUUGCAUGCCCAAAUGACCCUUAGCAAUCUGUUUCUUUGCUAAAUUUUAUGUUGCUUUGUAUUUUGGGUGCUAUCUAUGUCAGAAGAUAUUUGUUGUAAAGUUUUUAUAAGCAUUAAAGUAACAAUGACGUUUCAGUCCCAUUGAAACUUGGUCUUCUCAGUGCCUACAUUUUCCCUUUCCUGAAUGUUUCUCCUCCUCCCUUUUUUUCUGUUGGCUAUGCUUUGAAUACAGCUCCCAAGUUGUCUGAGGCCACAUGAACUGACAAUCUGGAUGGGAAGAUCAGAGUAAAGACAGAAGUCAAGGCUUGUUCUCCAUAUCUAGCUGGGUACAACAUCCCUUGCACUGGGGCCAGGAAACCUGCAGACACUUUGAUUGCACAAAUACUCAUAUGCAGAAUCCCCAGUGGUGCUGGAACCUGCUGAGAGCUGAUCACUGCAUGAAUCUGACCACUUCAGUACCUGUUUAUGGACUCACAACAUAUCUGCACAUGAACUAACAGGUUGAGAUAGUUUUUCUCCAUUGCGUUCCAUGCAGUUGUUCUGGAAAGGAAUGGCAAAGCUGUGCAAGGCUUCACAAUAAAAAAAAAAACCUCUUCCUGUAAAGGCAAGACUGUGCCAAAAUAAAUAGGGACUGCAGCAAAUGGUACAGAUGGUCACUGCUUUUGAGUGUGCUUGUAUUUCUUUCAUAUAAUAUGAUUAUACAUGCAUAGUGCAUGUGUGCAUGCAUUUACAUGAAUUUGUAUACAUACUAAUAUUUUCAAAAAUAUA